rnacentral:rRNA from 1 species
UACGAAGGGGGCUAGCGUUGCUCGGAAUCACUGGGCGUAAAGCGCACGUAGGCGGACUCUUAAGUCGGUGGUGAAAUCCUGGAGCUCAACUCCAGAACUGCCUUCGAUACUGAGAGUCUUGAGUCCGAGAGAGGUGAGUGGAACUGCGAGUGUAGAGGUGAAAUUCGUAGAUAUUCGCAAGAACACCAGUGGCGAAGGCGGCUCACUGGCCCGGUACUGACGCUGAGGUGCGAAAGCGUGGGGAGCGAACCGG